rnacentral:rRNA from 1 species
AGCAAUAAACCAAGUAUAGAACAUCAAACCUACUAACCGCCAGGGAACUACAAGUAAAAAACUUCAAACUCAAAGGACUUGACGGUAUCCCACACCGCCCUAGAGGAGCCUGUCCUAUAAUCGAUAACCCACGCUAUACCUCACCUGUCCUAGCACACAACAGCCUAUAUACCGCCGUCUCCAGCCCACCUUGCAAAAGAACACAUAGUGAGCAAAACAGCCACCACAAAUACGCCAGGUCAAGGUGUAGCCAACGGACAGGCAGAGAUGGGCUACAUUUUCUAACAUAGAAAACACCAACAGCAACAUGAAAUUCCGCCCAAAGACGGAUUUAGCAGUAAGCCGCGCAAGACUUGCCCGCCUGAAGAAAGCCCUGGG